CCUACGGGAGGCUGCAGUGGGGGAUAUUGCACAAUGGGGGAAACCCUGAUGCAGCGACGCCGCGUGGGCGAAGACGUAUUUCGGUAUGUUAAGCCCUAUCAGCAGGGAAGUAGAAAUGACGGUACCUGAGUAAGAAGCACCGGCUAAAUACGUGCCAGCAGCCGCGGUAAUACGGAUGGUGCAAGCGUUAUCCGGAUUUACUGGGUGUAACGGGAGCGCAGGCGGCACGGCAAGCCUGAUGUGAAAGCCCGCGGCUCAACCGCGGGACUGCAGUUGGAACUACCGGGCUGGAGUGCCGGUGGGGGAGGCGGAAUGCCUAGUGUAGCGGUGAAAUGCGUAGAUAUUAGGAGGAACACCAGUGGCGAAGGCGGCCUACUGGACGGUGACUGACGCUGAGGCUCGAAAGCGUGGGGAGCAAACAGGAUUAGAUACCCGUGUAGUC
rnacentral:rRNA from 1 species